UCUGACAUACAUGCAUUGGAUUUGAUGCAGGGCAAUAGGAAGUGACUGUGGCAUUGUAAAUGUGAAUAUUCCGACGAGUGGUGCUGAAAUAGGCGGUGCUUUUGGUGGCGAGAAAGCCACCGGAGGUGGCCGUGAAGCUGGUAGUGAUUCUUGGAAACAAUAUAUGAGGCGCUCAACUUGUACUAUCAACUAUGGGAGCGAACUGCCUCUGGCGCAAGGGAUUAACUUUGGGUAGUCGAAAAACCAGAAGAAUAAUCAAUUUGGUUAAUCUCGUUUAAUCAAAUUCGUUUGCUGGCGUAUAGUUUUUUCCUAAAGGUUUGUACUUUAUAACUAACCGUGGAAUUAUUUUCGAAUUUCGACUACAUUUGGACCAAUCUAUGACCAUUUAUUCGUUUUAAAGUUUCGGUUUUUAUUGC